rnacentral:rRNA from 1 species
CCCUGCCCUUUGUACACACCGCCCGUCGCUCCUACCGAUUGAGUGGUCCGGUGAAUCUUUCGGACUGUGGCGAGUCUCGUGCUUUGCCGCGGAAAGUCAGGUGAACCUUAUCACUGAGAGGAAGGAGA